AAACGCUGGCGGCGUGCCUACACAUGCAACGUCAGCGGUAAGGCCUUCGGGGUACACGAGCGGCGAACGGGUGAGUAACACGUGGGUGAUCUGCCUCGCACUCUGGGAUAAGCCUGGGAAACUGGGUCUAAUACCGGAUAUGACCACGGAUCGCAUGGUUUGUGGUGGAAAGAUUUAUCAGGUGCGAGAUGGGCCCGCGGCCUAUCAGCUUGUUGGUGGGGUAAUGGCCUACCAAGGCGACGACGGGUAGCCGACCUGAGAGGGUGACCGGCCACACUGGGACUGAGACACGGCCCAGACUCCUACGGGAGGCAGCAGUGGGGAAUAUUGCACAAUGGGCGCAAGCCUGAUGCAGCGACGCCGCGUGAGGGAUGACGGCCUUCGGGUUGUAAACCUCUUUCAGUAGGGAAGAAGCGAAAGUGACGGUACCUGCAGAAGAAGCGCCGGCUAACUACGUGCCAGCAGCCGCGGUAAUACGUAGGGCGCAAGCGUAAUCCGGAAUUAUUGGGCGUAAAGAGCUCGUAGGCGGUUUGACGA
rnacentral:rRNA from 1 species